AGAGUUUGAUCAUGGCUCAGGACGAACGCUGGCGGCAUGCUUAACACAUGCAAGUCGAACGGAAAGGCCCUUCGGGGUACUCGAGUGGCGAACGGGUGAGUAACACGUGGGUGAUCUGCCCUGCACUUUGGGAUAAGCCUGGGAAACUGGGUCUAAUACCGAAUAUGACCAUGCGCCUCCUGGUGUGUGGUGGAAAGCUUUUGCGGUGUGGGAUGGGCCCGCGGCCUAUCAGCUUGUUGGUGGGGUAAUGGCCUACCAAGGCGACGACGGGUAGCCGGCCUGAGAGGGUGACCGGCCACACUGGGACUGAGAUACGGCCCAGACUCCUACGGGAGGCAGCAGUGGGGAAUAUUGCACAAUGGGCGCAAGCCUGAUGCAGCGACGCCGCGUGAGGGAUGACGGCCUUCGGGUUGUAAACCUCUUUCAGCACAGACGAAGCGCAAGUGACGGUAUGUGCAGAAGAAGGACCGGCCAACUACGUGCCAGCAGCCGCGGUAAUACGUAGGGUCCGAGCGUUGUCCGGAAUUACUGGGCGUAAAGAGCUCGUAGGUGGUUUGUCGCGUUGUUCGUGAAAACUCACAGCUUAACUGUGGGCGUGCGGGCGAUACGGGCAGACUUGAGUACUGCAGGGGAGACUGGAAUUCCUGGUGUAGCGGUGGAAUGCGCAGAUAUCAGGAGGAACACCGGUGGCGAAGGCGGGUCUCUGGGCAGUAACUGACGCUGAGGAGCGAAAGCGUGGGGAGCGAACAGGAUUAGAUACCCCGGUAGUCC
rnacentral:rRNA from 1 species